rnacentral:rRNA from 1 species
CGGGUCCUACGGGACGCAGCAGUGGGGAAUAUUGGGCAAUGGGCGCAAGCCUGACCCAGCAACGCCGCGUGAGGGAAGAAGGCUUUCGGGUUGUAAACUUCUUUUGACAGGGAAGAGCAGAAGACGGUACCUGUCGAAUAAGCCACGGCUAACUACGUGCCAGCAGCCGCGGUAAUACGUAGGUGGCAAGCGUUGUCCGGAUUUACUGGGUGUAAAGGGCGUGUAGCCGAGCUGACAAGUCAGAUGUGAAAUCCGGGGGCUCAACCCCCGAACUGCAUUUGAAACUGUUGGUCUUGAGUAUCGGG